rnacentral:rRNA from 1 species
AAACCAACAGGGAUUGCCUUAGUAACUGCGAGUGAAGCGGCAAGAGCUCAAAUUUGAAAUCUGGCACCUUCGGUGUCCGAGUUGUAAUUUGUAGAAGCAUCUUUUGGAUUGGUCCUUGCAUAUGUUCCUUGGAACAGGACAUCAAAGAGGGUGAGAAUCCCGUUCAUGGUGGGGAAUCCAAUUCUUUGUAAAGUGCUUUCGAAGAGUCGAGUUGUUUGGGAAUGCAGCUCUAAGUGGGUGGUAAAUUCCAUCUAAAGCUAAAUAUUGGCGAGAGACCGAUAGCGAACAAGUACAGUGAUGGAAAGAUGAAAAGAACUCCGAAAGGAGAGUGAAAAAGGACGUGAAAUUGUUGAAAGGGAAGUGCUUGAGAUCAGUCUUAAGGUUUAGUGAUCAGUCUUCCUUUUGGUUGGUGCACUCACUAUUUCUUAGGCCAACAUCAGUUUUGGCGGCAGGACAAUGACAUUGGAAUGUGGCUCUUUCGAGAGUGUUAUAGCCUUUGUUGAUACUGCCUGCUUAGACUGAGGACUGCGCUUAAUUGCUAGGAUGUUGGCAUAAUGAUCUUAAGCAGC